rnacentral:lncRNA from 10 species
GGGCGUGGCGAAUAGCGCCGGCUAGGUCUUCCAACCUCUAGGUGGGGUGCCAGCCGGGGCGGGCCCAGCACCCCGGCCGGGCAGUACUUUUUUUUUUUUUGCAUACACCAGUUCUCAGGAUAUCGGAAUCCGGUGCACAGCAGCUUCUUCAGGUGAGGCGUCCAUGGAACGACUUCUGGCCCAGCUGUGCGGCAGCAGCGCAGCGUGGCCGCUCCCGCUGUGGGAGGGGGACACCACAGGCCACUGCUUCACCCAGCUGGUGCUCAGCGCCCUGCCCCACGCGCUCCUCGCCGUGCUCAGUGCCUGUUACUUGGGCACCCCGAGAGUCUCUCUUUGUCACCCAGGCUGGAGUACAGUGGCACGAUCUCAGCUCACUGCAACCUCCGCCUCCCAGGUUCAAGCGAUUCUCGUGCCUCAGUGUCCCAAAGUAGCUGGGAUUACAGGAGUCCAGAUUACAUCCUACCCUGCAGUCCUGGAU